UUUCUAAAAUUAUUUUAAGGUACAGGGAUGUUUUUUUCUCUGUUUAAAAGGGAAUCUAGUAAGUUUUGAUAGACAAAGCUAGAGCUGCCCCCGCAACUGUAAUUGGUGAGUGUUCUUUUUAAAAUGUCACUGGAUUUCCUGGGAAGACAAUAAAGAGCGCAAUGACCCAAAAGCCAGGAGACCUGCCUUAUAAUAAUGAACGGU
rnacentral:ncRNA from 2 species